ensembl:lncRNA
GGGACCUAAUUUGCAACAAUGUCUGUUUGUCCAAUUGUUGCUGACCCGAACCUUGUGGGAGGUCUACAUCCAGCUCUCUUCCUUCACUAUGAUGGGAGUUAUUGAUAGACUCUGUUACCAGAACCUGGCUCAACCUCCUGCAUUCAGGGUUGAGAAGGACCCAUAGAAGGGAAAAAAGAAAAACACUGAGGAACAUGGUUCUGCAUGGAAGAUCCUAAAUGGCAACAAAUGGUUUCAGCCAGCCAAGAGUGCAUGAGUUCAGAUCCACAUAGCUGAAGAGAAAAACCUGAAACCUUUAACCCUAAACAUUUUGAAACCAGAAGUCUAGUGAGGAAGCUAAAGAAAGCUUCAAGAGAUGAAAGAAUGACAUCAACGUAAUUAUCACUCUCUCUUUUCAAGGAGCUGCUUAUCCACCAGGAAGAAGAUAGAUGAGAAUGGAAAACACAGUGAAAACAGCAUGCUGAGAUUUUGUUUUUUCCAAAGCAAGUAGAAGCAGCUGGUUGUUUGUCUGCUGAGACAGAACCUAUGGAACUUAUGGGAGAAGAGAAAUGUCAAUAAAAUCAGUCACUUCUUGAAGACCCAGGUUGAUAUUUUCUUUUGCAAAAUAAGGACUCUAGAGGCUCUCAGAGACUGUUUCUUACCAUCAAGCAUUUCCUUUUUCCUUAGCUCCUGUCCCACUGGAAAGAAAAAAUUCAAUUUAAUUUCCUUCUAUCAGAUAGAACACUUGGAAAGACACUCAAGCAUUUACUAAUUUAUUCUUGACUACGUUAGUUUUAAUCCUAAAAGCUCCU